rnacentral:rRNA from 1 species
UGGGGAAUAUUGCACAAUGGGCGCAAGCCUGAUGCAGCCAUGCCGCGUGUGUGAAGAAGGCCUUCGGGUUGUAAAGCACUUUCAGCGAGGAGGAAGGUGGUGAACUUAAUACGUUCAUCAAUUGACGUUACUCGCAGAAGAAGCACCGGCUAACUCCGUGCCAGCAGCCGCGGUAAUACGGAGGGUGCAAGCGUUAAUCGGAAUUACUGGGCGUAAAGCGCACGCAGGCGGUUUGUUAAGUCAGAUGUGAAAUCCCCGGGCUCAACCUGGGAACUGCAUUUGAAACUGGCAAGCUAGAGUCUCGUAGAGGGGGGUAGAAUUCCAGGUGUAGCGGUGAAAUGCGUAGAGAUCUGGAGGAAUACCGGUGGCGAAGGCGGCCCCCUGGACGAAGACUGACGCUCAGGUGCGAAAGCGUGGGGAGCAACAGAUUAGAUACCCUGGUAGUCCACGCUGUAAACGAUGU